GACGAACGCUGGCGGCGCGCCUAACACAUGCAAGUCGAACGAGAGAUGAGGAGCUUGCUCUUCAAAUCGAGUGGCGAACGGGUGAGUAACGCGUGAGGAACCUGCCUCAAAGAGGGGGACAACAGUUGGAAACGACUGCUAAUACCGCAUAAGCCCACGGCUCGGCAUCGAGCAGAGGGAAAAGGAGCAAUCCGCUUUGAGAUGGCCUCGCGCCCGAUUAGCUAGUUGGUGAGGUAACGGCCCACCAAGGCGACGAUCGGUAGCCGGACUGAGAGGUUGAACGGCCACAUUGGGACUGAGACACGGCCCAGACUCCUACGGGAGGCAGCAGUGGGGAAUAUUGCACAAUGGGGGAAACCCUGAUGCAGCGACGCCGCGUGGAGGAAGAAGGUCUUCGGAUUGUAAACUCCUGUUGUUGAGGAAGAUAAUGACGGUACUCAACAAGGAAGUGACGGCUAACUACGUGCCAGCAGCCGCGGUAAAACGUAGGUCACAAGCGUUGUCCGGAAUUACUGGGUGUAAAGGGAGCGCAGGCGGGAGAACAAGUUGGAAGUGAAAUCCAUGGGCUCAACCCAUGAACUGCUUUCAAAACUGUUUUUCUUGAGUAGUGCAGAGGUAGGCGGAAUUCCCGGUGUAGCGGUGGAAUGCGUAGAUAUCGGGAGGAACACCAGUGGCGAAGGCGGCCUACUGGGCACCAACUGACGCUGAGGCUCGAAAGUGUGGGUAGCAAACAGGAUUAGAUACCCUGGUAGUCCACACCGUAAACGAUGAUUACUAGGUGUUGGAGGAUUGACCCCUUCAGUGCCGCAGUUAACACAAUAAGUAAUCCACCUGGGGAGUACGACCGCAAGGUUGAAACUCAAAGGAAUUGACGGGGGCCCGCACAAGCAGUGGAGUAUGUGGUUUAAUUCGACGCAACGCGAAGAACCUUACCAAGUCUUGACAUCCUGCGACGCACAUAGAAAUAUGUGUUUCCUUCGGGACGCAGAGACAGGUGGUGCAUGGUUGUCGUCAGCUCGUGUCGUGAGAUGUUGGGUUAAGUCCCGCAACGAGCGCAACCCUUAUGGUCAGUUACUACGCAAGAGGACUCUGGCCAGACUGCCGUUGACAAAACGGAGGAAGGUGGGGAUGACGUCAAAUCAUCAUGCCCUUUAUGACUUGGGCUACACACGUACUACAAUGGCGUUAAACAAAGAGAAGCAAGACCGCGAGGUGGAGCAAAACUCAGAAACAACGUCCCAGUUCGGACUGCAGGCUGCAACUCGCCUGCACGAAGUCGGAAUUGCUAGUAAUCGUGGAUCAGCAUGCCACGGUGAAUACGUUCCCGGGCCU
rnacentral:rRNA from 1 species